AUCCAAGGUGAUUCUCUCUCUAAGGGGACGAUUCAUGCCCUUCUCGGGAAAGUAGUCACUUUGAAUAAAAUCUGGCAUGCCUAAGGUCUUUGGAGGACAGGGCAUGCUUAUUUCCUUUGCCUUUCUUGGGCCGGUCACAUGU
rnacentral:snoRNA from 1 species